rnacentral:lncRNA from 1 species
UGGGACACCAAGAAAGGUGUCCACACCUCCAGGGCAUGCCCCUGGGAAGCCCUGGAAGUAGGCAGAGCUGGGCUCUUUCCUUGCUGGCCAAGGCCAAGUUCUCACACUGGGCCAUGAGGACAGCUCAUCCUUGGGGCCUCUUCAUUGCUAUCUCCACUGGCUGCAGAGAUCGAGUACUUCUGUAUGUGGGAGAGCUGCUGGCCGCAUCCUUGGAGAUUUCUGCUUGCGCAACCCUCUGGAAGCGAAUCAGCGAUCCAGUAGCUUUCGGGCAGAGCAGAGGCCCUCUCCACAGCUCAGCCUCCUGCUUCGUGGCUGCUCCAGCUCCAGUGCUGCAGGGCCCUUUGGCAGUUCUGCACCAGCCGAGUCCCCACAACAGGGUCAUUGCUGCUACUUCAGGAUAUUUAGCUGAAAUUGGAGAAUGGCAACUGUUUGAGCAUGUUCUAUGAGUUUUAUAAAUACCCCUAACUUCCUCUUUACUUUGUGAUUAGCAAUGGCAAUUUUUGCUUCAAGAGUCUGUUACCUGAGUCCGUAGGGAAUGUACAAGGUCAGAGCCAUAGGAUCUGGAUUACCAAAUCAGAGUAAAAAAACCCAAGAGCAGUCUAACUGCAGGGCCUGGACCAGAAGGCACCUCUGGAAGGCUCCCGGGUGCUGCUUUGAAUCGGCUCUUCCAAUUCCUUGUGCAGGCAAGUGGCAGAGGUAAACUCAGGAGAGAGGCAAGUGCCUCACUCUUGUAGGGCUUGAGGAGAUGGGUCAGAUGGGUCACUGCACCAGGUGGGGAGGUGCAGAAAUGAGAACCAGAAAGCUCUGAAUUACUGGGAAUUUUGAAAAGUGCCUCAGAAAUGGGGGAUGCCCAACAGCAGCCAUGAAGAACACAGGCUGCUGCUUGCCCAGAUGUGCCACCACCUAACAGAUGUGCAAAACUUGUGGAGUACAUGAACCUGACAGUGGGACAGGCUGCGCUGUCAUCCGGUCACCCUCCACAAGUGAAACAGCAGUGCCCAAGGCAUUGCUGUGGGCCCCAAAUCUUGCAGGAAGGGGCACCAGGAAGUCAGAAGUUUGCCUGGGCCACCACAGACGCAUUCUCUGGAGGAGGCGCAGGGGACACAUUUUGACGGAGAUGUGAAUUUGUGGAUCCCAGCUUUCUGCUGAAAACUACAGGUACUUCUGGCGGAUUCAGGGAUGCACUCAUGUACCCAGCAGCUGUGAUAAACACGACAACAUAUGGUGCUCAAAGGGAGAGGGGGCAGGGAGAGAGAGAGGUGGGGAAUCGUUGCCUACUUAUCUACCCUGUUCAUGGAGCGUGUGUUUGUCUCUGGACUGGUGGAUGCUCUUUCAUCAUUUUGACAUCACGUCCAUUAUAUUGUGCCUGAAGUGCUGCAAGUUUACAAUCACCUGCAUUCACACAGCCUGCCGAGCACGUUUCUGACUUCUUUGUGGGUGGAGUGA